GGAUGUGAGGGUGAUCUGGCUGCAACAUCUGUCACUCCAUUGAUCACCAGGUGUUCCCUUCCUCCCUCACCCCUCCACAUGCAUCCCUUCUGAAGCUGCAUGCUCAGUUGAAGACGACCGGUUCUUCAGUCAAGGGUAUAUGAGUAGCUGCUUUCCUCUGCUAAAAACCUCCAUACAACCUCUCAAGAAAGCCAAUAGUUGGGGCAGGUAACAAAAAAAAUCUUUAAAAGCUUUUGGACAGCAACAGAGAAGUGGAAUAGUGAAUGAGACACAUCUGGAUGU
ensembl:misc_RNA 7SK 7SK RNA